AAAAAAAAAAAAAAAAAACUUGAAGCAUUGUUCUUUAUGUGUACAAGCCUGCGUUUUGACAUGCCCUGAUUAUUUGAAGGAAAUAGAAUAAAUAGUCCAGUUAACUUGUAAGUUAGUCAUUUGCAUCAGAAAUAAGAUGGAAUUUUAUUUGCUGGAGUUUUAAAGAAUGUAGAGCUUGGAAUGGAUGUGUCCUAAAAGAGAAAUUUCCCAGUGAUUAAUCAACCUUGUUUAGACCAUUCAUUUAAAUGAUUUUACAUGUAAAUAGGAAGUACAUAGAAAAGCUGUGUAUUCAGAAGAUAGCUGCUAUUUGGAAAGAAAGAAAUCUAAAUCAAAGUAGACUUCUCAAAAACUCUUUUAUGUGAUGACAUGACUGGGCUUUGUAUAAGCAGUAUUGUAUUGCUGUAAAGUUCAGAAGCUGCUUAAUCAAUAAAAAAAGUUGAAGUAGAGAGAUAGGAUUAAAGAGAUAAGAUCUUUGUUAGACUAAAUCUAUUGACCCAGAACUUCCUGUAAUGGGAUGGAUGGGAACUGCUUCACCUUGUUAAUGUAACAGAGGUUUUCCAUCUCAAAAUUGCUGUUUGGAGACUAUGUCACUGUGUCUAUUUUUAGUUUCUUGGUCUAAAGAAACCACAGAUUGUUUUUGCAAGACCUCAGAAAAGCACAAAACUUCCAUUGUAAACACGAUUUAGAUAAAACACUUACUGGGUGUGCUUUUAAUAUUCUGAGCAUCACGUUAAACAUCAUUGAUGUAAAAUCAGAAAUCUGCAGGGACACAAGCUACCUCGGAAUGUGAAUAAAAUAGCCAGCAUGAAACCAACUCUGUAGGCUAUUUACCUUCCCUGUACAAACAGAACUGCUUGCUGAUAGAGCGUGACCCCCAGCACCUGGCUGUCAGCCAGCAGGGGCAAGUUUCUAUCAGGUCAUAGUUAGAAUCUGUGUGUGCACAACAGACAGACUGUAGACUAAAAUGUCAGUUUCCCUCCUGACGUCAAUCUCCCCCUUUCUCUUGCUAACAGAACCUAUUUUUUUUUCUUUUUUUCAAAUGUGCACCGCUUUGGGAAAUGACCUCAUUUUCCAGGUCAGUAGUGAGUUCUGAGUAGUCUAAACCAGUCUUGCUAAUCCUGUGACCCUUACUAGUGAUCAGGUUUGAGAAGAUCCAGGCCCUUCUAGGGUUCAUUACACUACUGAGUGCAUCAGCUCUGAAGCCACUCCAUUGUUGGACUACCUGUAAUGGGAUAUGAUACAUUUCCUUUCCAUUUAAGCCAGUUAAAUUGGAGCUUUCUGUUUCUCCAAUCAAAAUCUCUUAAUGGGCACACAGGCAUUUAUUUCUCUUAAUAAUGACCAAAGGAAUUCAUUUACUAAGGACUUUGAGCAGAUAUUGGAAAAAAAAAAAAAGAAUUAUUUGAUUGGAGCUUUUUAGUAGCAAACAAAAUCACCUCCAGAUUAUUAUAUUCCAUAAUGUUUUCGUGUCCACUGUAACGGUAAUCAGCAAUUUAAAAAAAUCUUUUUGUUCCUCUCUGGCUAAAUGGAUUGUAGUAGCCUCCAUUAUAUUAUUCUGACACUAGUUCCAUGGCGUGUGGCCAAUUCCUAGGACUACAGUGACAUAAGUGGAUGGGAGUUUAUUUCUCUCUCUCAUAAAAUUAUGUCUGGAGCUGGGAUGCUCCACUCCACCAAGCCUUUAGUUGCCUUCAUCUACAUGGUGUAAGGUGGCUCAGCCCCAGGUCCACAUUUCAACCAGAAACAAAGGGGAAGGAGAAGAGGACAUUCCCAGUCUCUUUAAAGGUCAAAUCUGGAAGUAGCACACAACAUUGCACUCAUAUUCUGACAGAGAAAAGUUACUUGUGAGGCUACAUGGCCAGCCCCCAAAGCAGUUGGGAAAUAUCUUUAUUCUGGGUGCAAUGUGCCCAGCUAGAAACUGUUCCUAUGAAGAAAAGGGCGAAUGGAUGAUGAGCGGACAAAUGUCAGUCUCUGCCUCAUCUGGUGUCUUUUCUGUCUCCUUUUAUCAUUACUCAAAUACCAUUCACUUGUCUCCAGUCUCAGAGUUUCAUAUUUUCAUGCAGGAAAAGAAAAAAGUAUUCUGGCAAGAAGCUACUUCUUUUUUAUUUCUAACAGAAUUGAGUAUUUCCUUGGUGAUGUUCUUUUUAACAAUAUAUAUUUUUCACUUUCUGUAUUCCCAGGCAUGAGAAAUUAGACCUCCAACUCUCAAUAAUACCCAUAAAAUUGUAUUCACCCCUUCUAUUAAAAGGUGUUGCCACAAUAACCUUCUGAAGUUGUGCAGAUAAAUAGAGUUCGCAUUCAGUAUUGCCAUAAACUGAAAGCAGAGGCACAAUUCUAGAAAAUUCUCUAGUUGGAUUGACAUUUACACCUGCUGAUUAUUUUGUUCUCAUGUCACAUACAAAGGCACUACUAAACCAUGUAGAACCACAUGUUCCACGGACUAAAGCUUUUGGAGUUACAAAUUGAAUAUGAUAUUUCACGUAGCACUUGGAGUAAUAUCAGCUUCUGAUUUACAUUUCUAACAGAAGUCCUAGGAGUUUUAGCUUUUAUUCUUCCACCGCAAUCACUAGAAAUCAUGCUGUUUUUAGCAACUAAGCUAUUCUCAUAAGAAACAUUCACCAAGGGGAAAAAUUCAGUAUAUUCUCCCUUAUAUUGAAAAUAAAUCAGUAAUACUUGUAGGGGAAAAUUGUUUAUUCUACAUGCAUGAAUUGGUUAUCCAGUAUGUAUAUGGCUCUCUGCUAGAUGCUACAGGCACACAGAGGUGAUGCCACAGCCACUGUGCUGGAGAAACACAUCAUCUAAUGGGAAGACAAGGCACGUCUGUGUGAAACAGCAUAGCCACAUGGCAACAUGUAAUUGUGCCGGGGAAUGUCCCACAGAAAUCCAGGAUGCUUAAUGACCUUAAUGACCCAGUUCCUGCAUCACUGUGAACACACCUCAUAGUCAUGUGUGUCACACUGCUUGUGUGCAUACCACUUGCCCACAUGUGGAGCUGCUGUGGGGCUGCUGGUGGGGUGAGCAGGAGCUGCCUUCUAUUCAUUUUUGUAUCCUCAGCAAUGACCCCUGCAUUCAGCACACUCAUUGUGUCAUGAAUGAUGCUGUGAGAAAGGAAAAGGUUUGGAAUCAAGAAUGGGGAGCUUCAUUAAGCACACUGAGGGAUGGAAAAAUUUGGCCUAAAGUGGUGACUGAAAUAUUUCAGGCAGAAGAUUCUGCACCAGAGUGAAGGGUCAGGAAGCCAGGCAGCUGCAGAUAACACGGCCAGGGAGGAACGAGUAGGCGAUGGGGAGGAGUUGUGGGCUCAUGGUGCCUGAUCAAGAACAAGAGAGGGAAAGGGAGUCUGGCCCUGCGGGCUAAGGAUUUGGGACUUCAUCCUGCAGACCAUGGAGGCCAGGACAUGAUCAGAUCUUUUGGAAAAAGUAAUCUAGUGUGAGGGUGAGGAGAACAGGUGGAAAGGGGGUUCAUUGAAAGUCACAGAGACCACUGUGACGGUGAGUAUCUUGUGUGAAUAUACAGCCUUCCGACCCUAUAAAACAGGAAUCACUAUUUAUCUUUUCUCCUUCUACUAGUGAAGCAGCAUUGGUAGUCCCGGGUAAAUCCCCAGGGUUCCUUAUCUCACGCCAAGAAAAUUAAGUACACAGACACGUGGGUGGGUUAAGAAGUGGAAAGUAUAGGCAGAAGAAAGGAGAGAGGAGAGCAGCUCUUUGCAAGAGAGAAAUGUCUGAAAAAAAGGGUCAAGGUGGCGGAUCACAGCAGAUUUUAUAGGUAGCCUUGAGGAGGCAGUGUCUGAUUUAUGUAGGACUCACAGAUUGGUUUGACCAGGUGUGGCAUUUACAUAGCACGCAGAGAAGGCUCUUGGCCCCACCCUAAUCUUAUUAUGCAAACAGACUUUCCACUUGAUGGGGCCAUCUUUUCUGCUCCUGACUGUACAUGUGGCUGGCAAAAAGAGAAGAUGGAGCCGCCAUUUCGAACAUGGCUAGUCCCAGGGACUAUAUUCCUAUGGGCACAACUGCCAGCAUGUACCCGUGCAAGUUUCCAGCAUGCUUGUUUGUGUCUGCAGCUCGAUUUUACAGGCUGCUCUUGUUGGAAAGGAAAAUGAUUUGGGGGCUGCUUUUCGUUAAAAGAAAAACCUUACUGAGGACUUCCGCACCCUCACUGUCUGCCUAAGUACUUUCUUUUUAACUCCUAUAUGACUAGUUUUCAGAAAUUAUUUUAAGAAUUUUAGGUUUGUAAUAUCAUAUGCAUUUAAGGCUGAAACCUUGGGGAUGUGGAAGAUUUGGGUCAUUAUUUUAUUUUAGAGAUUAUUUAGAAAUUGAAUUCCUAACCACUCUCUGUAUAAUGUGUAAUAGCUAGUAUGGUACACUAUAGAAUAUUUAUACUCACCCAUCUUCAUUAUGCUGCAUAAUUUGCUGCCUUUCAUUUUUUAAUCUAAAAAUAUGAGUGUAAUAUUUAAAAGUCUUAAAUAGCAAAUUUUCCUUACUGUUUCCUCAGCAUCCACCAUGGUAUCCAACACACAUAUAAUUGUAUAAGAGGGUUUCAUAUGGAAAAGUCCCGCGAGUGACAAGAUUUGCAGAUUUCUAAGAGGCUUUCUACCAAUAUUUGAGAAGUGAUGGCAGGUGUAAGGGGUGGACUGUGACAGCCACCCUUCUUGACUCAGAUGUCCCAGCACCCACGUGCAUGCACCAGUGAACAUGAAAAAGUGAAAGGCAAGAAAGACCUUCUGACCAUGACAUUCCAGCCGUGUUACCACGGAACGGUAUGAAGGUGAAGAUUUGCAAAUGUUUACCCCAAACCCCUUCUUUAUUAAACACUUUUGGCAUCUAUCUA